rnacentral:rRNA from 1 species
GCUGACGAGCGGCGGACGGGUGAGUAAUGUAUGGGGAUCUGCCCGAUAGAGGGGGAUAACCACUGGAAACGGUGGCUAAUACCGCAUAAUCUCUUAGGAGCAAAGCAGGGGAACUUCGGUCCUUGCGCUAUCGGAUGAACCCAUAUGGGAUUAGCUAGUAGGUGAGGUAAUGGCUCACCUAGGCGACGAUCCCUAGCUGGUCUGAGAGGAUGAUCAGCCACACUGGGACUGAGACACGGCCCAGACUCCUACGGGAGGCAGCAGUGGGGAAUAUUGCACAAUGGGCGCAAGCCUGAUGCGGCCAUGCCGCGUGUAUGAAGAAGGCCCUAGGGUUGUAAAGUACUUUCAGUCGGGAGGAAGGCGUUGAUGCUAAUAUCAUCAACGAUUGACGUUACCGACAGAAGAAGCACCGGCUAACUCCGUGCCAGCAGCCGCGGUAAUACGGAGGGU